rnacentral:rRNA from 1 species
AUUGAACGCUGGCGGCAGGCCUAACACAUGCAAGUCGAGCGAGCGGCGGACGGGUGAGUAAUGCCUGGGAAACUGCCUGAUGGAGGGGGGUAACUACUGGAAACGGUAGCUAAUACCGCAUACCAUCAGAUGUGCCCAGAGGGGAUUAGCUAGUAGGUGGGGGAACGGCUCACCUAGGCGACGAUCCCUCGCUGGUCUGAGAGGAUGACCAGCCACACUGUACCUGAGACAGGGGCCAGAGUCCGACGGGAGUCAGCGGUAGGGAGUAUUGCCCAAUGGGCGAAAGCGUGAGGCAGCCUCGCCGCGUGUGUUAAGAAGGCCUUCGGGUUGUAAAGCACGUUCAGCGGGGAUGCGUUACCCGCAGAAGAGGCACCGGCUAACUCCUUGCCAGCCGCCGCGGUAAUAC